AAUGUAAAUGCACAACACAGAAUUUCUGAAACAAAAAUUCAUGAGAAGGCUACUUUAAGAAAUAAAUGAAUAAAUUAAGUUGUGUUAUGCCUUCAAAUAGUUAGACAUGCUAAAACACGGAAUUCGGUAACAAAAAAUAUGGUGUGAAAAAAUAAAACGUUUCAUAGGGCUCUAAACAUGUAAUUUUUGUUAAACUUAAAUUGAUGUGAAAAUUUAUAAGUUUCAUGAUUUUAAUUAAAUUACACAUGCUUUUUGAUUAAUGUGCUGUGGGAUUGCGUUAAUUUACUUAAACCUGGUGUUUAAAAUGUCAAAAUUAAAAUUAGAUUCUUGUUGCUCGGUGGUUGGGUGUUCCCUCUGGUCCGGAACUAACAUUCCGAAAUUUAAGUGUUGAGAUUUCUGAGAAACACCUGGAUUGCAGCAGUGAAGCAAGAAGGCUGGAUAACAACUAGCAACUCUAGGAUAUACAGAACACAUUUCAAUUUAGUAAAAUUUCCAUCGAAUGUGCACUUCAGAAUCCGGGUGGAAGCAGUAGGUCAUCCAGGAAAGCCAUCAUCUGUAAUUUAAGAUACUUAAGACAGUGCUUCAGGGAGACAGGAUGGACAACUGAUCGUCCUCCAGUGCCAAACCACACGACCAUAUGAACCCCCAGAUGUGUUCGAGAACUUGAGGAUGAAAUGCAC